UUUGGGUCAGGAAAAGCUUUUUAGCAUGCUUAGGGAUGUAUUAAGGAACAAACCCAAUGUGGAUGUUGUGAAACUUCAAAAGUCAGGUGGUGUGGUAUCCAGGACUUCAAAAGUCCGCCAGAAGGCCAGGAGUUACAGGAUUAGGGAAUACUUUUAUGGCAUUGCUAAUGACCUCUCUCCACAUUCAAAUAUCGCGAACUUUAGUGACUUGUUUGUAUACCGAAUUGGUGGUGGGCCACAAGCCCCAAGAUCAGCUCUACCAAUUGGUGCAGACCCUGUGGCCAAUCCUCUUAGAGUUACAGCUGUGAAUAUUGAUCGAGAUUUACUCCAUGUUGUUCUUGCUGUUUCAUAUGCUCAAGAACCUGAUCAAAUUGUUUCAAGUAAUAUUGCUGGGUUGAUCUACAUCACAGACAUCGACCUUCAGAGGAGAAAAAUCACUUACCUUACACCAACAGCUGGGGAUCUUCCGAGCAAGUAUUUGAUCAUGGGAACCUUAACAUGGCUGGAAACAUGAAG
rnacentral:misc_RNA from 1 species